rnacentral:rRNA from 1 species
UUGAACGCUGGCGGCAGGCCUAACACAUGCAAGUCGAGCGCGAAAGGUUUUCGGACUGAGUAAAGCGGCGGACGGGUGAGUAACGCGUGGGAAUCUGCCAGUAGUGGGGGACAACAGCCGGAAACGGCUGCUAAUACCGCAUACGCCCUACGGGGGAAAGGGGGGGAUCUCGGACCUCUCGCUAUUGGAUGAGUCCGCGUCGGAUUAGCUAGUUGGUAGGGUAAAGGCCUACCAAGGCUACGAUCCGUAACUGGUCUGAGAGGAUGAUCAGUCACACUGGAACUGAGACACGGUCCAGACUCCUACGGGAGGCAGCAGUGGGGAAUAUUGGACAAUGGGGGCAACCCUGAUCCAGCCAUGCCGCGUGUGUGAAGAAGGCCUUAGGGUUGUAAAGCACUUUCAGUGGGGAGAAAGGUUUGUCACCUAAUACGUGAUGAAAUUGAUGUUACCCACAGAGGAAGCACCGGCUAACUCCGUGCCAGCAGCCGCAGUAA